UCAGGCUGGGUCAGGGAAUAAAUACCCCAAAAACCCCCACCAACCCCCACCCCCGUUUCUUGCAAACAUUUCUAUUACUGCAAUCAGGCUGUUGUUUGGAAGAAGGCGGGGGAUGCCUGAACGAGAAGUGUGGCUUUUACUUGCGAGGAUGCUUACGCUGGUGUGCUGGUAAAAACAGUCAAGUGUAUACAUAAAGUACAAUCCCAGCUUUGUAAGCAAAGAGAAAACGUAUGCGUAGAAAAUAAAAAGGAGGAAAGAAAAUGAAACACACAGCGGCCACCUCAGGACUGGGGGAUGACGGGUGCUUCUUCUCCCUUUUACUUUCUGGACUUUUCAGAUUUUUUCAACAUGCACGGAGCACAAUUAAUAUCAGAAAGGUGCAGUGGUGGCGAGUUCAGGGUAGGCCAGAAGCUGGGCCCCUCGCCUUUCCUUCACCCAAGUGGUUAUUAGCUCUAUAAAACCCAAGAGCCAGCUGAGACAACUGACCCCCGUCCCCGCCCCUCAGCCAUCUGGUCAACCACGUGACCCAGCAUGUCCGGUGGCUCUCUUAGCCCUCCUCUCCAUCCGCACGGGCUGUUCCUGUUCCCCUGGUGCUGAUUCUAAUGUGAAGCCCAGCCCCUUCUCCAACUACCACCAAAAAAAUCCAUUCACCUUAAAUUUCUAUGGUGUUUAUACCAACCAAAUAACCAACCAUAGCCAGUUGUUGUCCAGUUGACUGACUCAUGGCAACCCCAGUUGUGUCAGAGUAGAACUGUGCUCCCUAAGAUUUUUAUAACUUCACUGAAAAUUUGGGAGGUCAUGAGGCAGGUCAUACCACGGAGCACACAAAGUACCAGUCACCUCACAAGCCCACCCCACCUCCUACCUCCUGUCUCUCCCCCUCCUUCUUGGAAGUAACCCCCAUUUCCCCUGGCGGGGGCAGAGAGCCCGGCCCAUCAGGCUCCCAGGCUCACCUCCCACCUCAUGCAGAUUUGUCAGGAGUUUCUUCUGAGCAAACCUGGGUAUUCCUUGAACAUAGUUCCCCACAUUCCCCAGGGCACAUCCUCUGAGUUAGCUCUAACUUGGGGUCCAGAUGGUGAUGGCUCUUCUUUCUCUCAUUGUCCCCACAUGGCUAGGAAGUGUGAUGUGCCCGCAUGUGCUAAGUGUGAGGUAGCUGUGGCUGACUACUUAGAAAUGUGUACACGCUCAGGCUCCCUGCAGCCCCCGGGGAAGGCACCCUCCUGGUGUGCCACCAGACACAACCAGCGCUAGGCUCCAACACGCCUGUCCCAGAUCUUUCAAUCACAAGCAACCCUUCAACCUAAGAUGAGCCACCUAACUGGCCUGAACUUCAGUGUCUUGACUCAUACAGUAGUAACUGUCUUGGGAUUGUGUGAAGAAUAGAAAGGUAAUGUUUAUGAAGUGUCUACUGCAGUCCUUGGUACCUUGUAAGCACUCAGUAAACGUUAGCUGUUCCCAGUCCUGUCAUGGUGCUACUGGUUAGUUACGUAACAGAUGCUCAUCGGACCUUUGUGCAAGUCACAAUGCUCAGGGUUCAGUAAGGGCUGACUGAGUCAAUCCACCAUCCGUCAGCUUGCCGUGCCAACAUUCAUCCAGCGCGUGCACACAAACACACACAACACGGUUUUGAAAGGCUGACUUUUCAGAAGUAGAUCGUCAGGCCCUCAAGGUGCCUCUGGGUGAACUUGACCUCUGACCUUUCGGUUAGUAGCCGAAUGUGUUAACCAUUUGCACCACCCAGGGACUCUCUAUAUGAAUUAAUUAGUCAUCUGAAAACCAACACCUUGGUACAGAAACGAAGCUGUUAUUUAGGACACCGUUUGACAAAUACUCUGGCAAAAUAAAUAAUGGUUUUCUGCCUGAACAUCACUUCCUCACAGAACUUGCCUUGUUCCCACAGCGGGCUAGAGAUCCCUGCUCAGCAUUCCCAUUGCACGCAGGCCCCCUCACAGCACUCAGCGGGGCAGACUACAUACCCAGAUGUGCAACUCUAACUAUUAUGAGUCUGUAAGUUCCACGAGUGUCAUGGGUUGAAUUGUGCCUCCUAACAAGAUAUGUUUAAGUUCUAACUCCAGGACCUGUGAAUGUUACGUGAGCUUGUCUGUAAAUAGGGUCUCUGAAGAUGUUACCAGUUAACACGAGGUCAUGCUGGAGUAGGGCCCCAUCUAAGUGAUGUCCUUUUGGGAGAGGAGAAGAGACACAGAGGCAAAAAGACAUAGAGGAAAGAUGAGGCAGAAGCAGAGCUAGGCUGCAGCUGCAAGCCAAGGAAUGCUUGGAGCUACCAGAAGCUGGGAGAGUCCGUCCUGAAUUUGGACUUCUAGCCUCUAGAACCGUGAGACAAUAAAUUUCAGUUUGUGGUACUUAGAGCAGCCCAGACUGCUACAACCAGGGCAAAUUUUCACUCCUUCUAGCUCAUUGGCACAUUAUUCCAUGUCUAACACUAAGUAGGCACUGUUGCAUAAAUGAAUGGAUAUCUUAAAAGGUGGUUGUGAUUGUUAAUCUGGCUGGGCCAUGAUGCUCAGUGGUUUGGUAGUUAUGACGCAGCGUUGCAGCCAUAUAACGACGAUGUAAUCACCUCCGUGGGAGACACCUCCGUGGGAGAUCUAACGUAAUCACCUCCAUGACGGGAUCUGCUGUGACUAGCCAGUCAGCUGAAAGGGAGUUUCCCUGGGGGUGUGGCUUCCACCCAAUGUAAGUGGACUUUCUGGCAAAGCUGACUGGCUUUUGCUCUGCUCUGGAUCCUGCAUUUGGCUUGUCAGCAUCAGACCUCAGGCUCUUGGGACUUGGGCCAGCAGCCUGCCAUCUUACCUGCCAAUGUCGGAUUCAUCAGCCUUCGCAGCAGCAAGCCAGCUGCCUGCUGUCUGACCUGUGGAUCCUGGGUUAUCAGCCCCUGCAGCUAAAUGACUCGGUCUCACCUCAGCCUGAUGCCUGACACCUGAUCCACAGACUUGGGACCUGCCAGCCUCUACAGCCGUGCCAGAAUGGCUCAGGACUUCUGAUGGGCCCUACUUCCCACCCAGGGGAUGCAGCCAGCUGGGACCCAGCACAGAGUGGAAAGGGAGCAGGACUGAAGGCAGAAGCCCUUGCAUUUCAUUUCCUGGGGCUUCAGAGAAAUGAAAAAAGGAGAAGAACGAACGAAGACAAAAAGAGGAGGAGGAGGGGACAGGAGGAAAGAAGAGAAGGAGAAAAAGGGGGAAGGGGGAAGGGAAGUGAGAGAGAAAGCAAAGAAAAAGAAAAACACAUUUUCUCAAGCUGAGGAUCUGAGUCCACCGAUGGGCUCUAUGGAGGUGGACUAAUUGGCCUGUGAAAAUAAGCUGGAGCCGUCUCUAAAGUGCACAGCUUGGCCAUGUAAUCCCAAACCUUUAAAACCUCAAAAUCCUUAAUCAUUUCUUUCUUCAGCCGUGGCUUAGCUUGGAUUCCCUGACUCAGAGAGGGCGGCAAGUCUGCCAAAUUUGGGGUUGAGACAAAAUUUUAAGAGAUAGGACUACAAUAAAGAACAUACUUAAUUUUUUUGAGAGUAGAAAGUGAACUUCUUCCCCUUACCAGGGCUUCGAACCGGUUCUUCCCAGUUCAGUUAUGGCCAAGGAAGUGAAAUCGGAACAGACCUGGAUUAUUAAAAAUUGGAUGAACCAGAAUGGUAACUGGAACAAGACAAACUACAGGUUAAAGCCCUGCCAGAAACCUAAUCUCCCUCUUAGAAAACAAAGAGUAUACGUUGCAUAGCCACCAAAUCUCCGGCCCAACAGUGUUGGAAACAGCACUGCCCCGCUCAGAGACGGUGGCGAAUGCGCCACUUUGAAUGUGUCGCUCUCCACAGUCCUGCCGAUAAUCCAGUCUCCUGCGUCGUCUCAUGAAAGGGCUCACUACGCCUCUUUCGAGUCUGUCGUUCCAGGGCUUUGACCUGUAAUUUUUCCCAUUCCGGUUACCUCUUCGGAUUAUCCAAAUUGUAAAAAUUUGGCUCUCUUCUGGUUUCACUUCAUCAACCGUGACCGAACCAGUUAGAAUCUGCCCCAGUCACCCCUACUGUACUAGUCUAAGCAACACGAAAUGAAAAACCCACAGCCAAAACCCUUAAAACCCAGCUGAUGUAACCACCUGCAAACCAGCCAAGAAAAAAUUCAUCUUUGGACAGAAACUAAGUAAUGUUAGCUGGUUUUAAAGAAAGUACUGGAAGACUGACAAGAGCAGAUAGUGCCUGGGAGAGAAAAGAUAAUGGGAAUAACUUCACAGGUUGGUCUUGCAGCCCAGCAAGGACACAGAUGAAGGACUCCUAUUUCCCAGAACCGGCCUGCCCCUGGGAGAGUAGGGCUUCUUGGAGGAACAGUCCAGAAGGACGUGGAAAGGCUGCCAUGGCAGAAAUGCUACAGACAGGGCAGACGAGCCACAAGAGUAUCCAGGGACCUGUGUUCAGGCACUGGUUUGGGAGAGGACUUGGAACUGAAGAUAGGGGAUCACACUUCCUCAGAACACACAGAAAGAUGGACACCUGACUAACACUGGGGCCAACGCCUGGUAAGAGACAGCACAAGAAAAGCAGAGUACAGACCAGUUCCAUUUAUGGAAUACUGAUACAAAAGUCUUACGUAAAAUUUUAGCAAAUUGAAUUUAGCAGUACGUUAAAAGGAUGAUAACCCAUGACCAAACGGUAAUUCUUCCUAAAAAUGUAAGGACGUUUACAGUAAACCAGAACCAGUGGCUGUCACGUCAGUCCGGACUCACGGCCACCCCACGCGCAUCAGAGCAGAACUGCGCUCCACAGGGUUUUCAAUGGCUGGUUUUUCGCAAGCAGAGUGCCAGGCCUUUCUUCUGAGGAGCCUCUGGGUGGACCUGAACCUCCAACCUUUCGGUUAGCAUCUAAGCACAUUAACUGUUUGCACCACCCAGGGUCUCCAGAUUAAUAUUAGGAUAUCAUAUAUUAACUAUUAAUAAGUCAGAGGAGAACCGUGUGAUCAUAUCAGGGUUUCAGACCGGUUCACACCCCUGCCGAUAAUUUGCAUUUCUAUCCAGUUUCCAGGUGAUACUGAUGCUGCUGGUUAGGGACCAGUUCUGAGAACCAAGAGUAGAGCAGCAGGUCUCAAAAUCUAUUAUACACAGCAUCACCUGGGGAUCCUGUUAAAAUGAAGGUUCUGAUUCAGUUUAUCUGGGGGUAGAAACGUAAAUUCUUAGCAGGGGUUUAAGCUGGUUCUUUCUGGUUUGAAACCCUGGGUCAUACAGAGUUGCCAAGAAGUAAUUUGACAAAAACCAACAUCCACUCUUAAUUUCUAAAACUCUUAGUAAAAAAAGAAAUACAAAUGGAUACUACCUCGACAAAACAGAAACACAUUUCCAACAAGAUGUUUGAGCAUGAAACCCGAGAAGCACUGCCAUCAAAGUCAGAGUGAGCUAAGGCUGCAAACUGCCGCCCGUACUACGAUUUAACACAGUUCUGAAAGUAUCUGCCAGUACAAUUAGGUACAAGAAAUAAAACCAAACCCAUUGCCGCUGAGUCGAUUCCAACUCAUAGCAAUCCUAUAGGACAGAGUGGAACUGCCCUGUAGGGUUCCCAAGAAGUAAAGCAGCUGGGUGGAUUCGAACUGCCGAUCUUUUGGUUAGCAGCCAAACAUUUAACCACUGUUUCUUUACCACAGCUACUGGGGCCCCAAGAGAAAGAAAGAUUAUAUGCAUAGGAAAUCCAAGAAAAUCAACUGACAGACUAGAAGCAAUGAGAAAUUUCCUUAAGAUGAUGCCAAAAAAAUAUACAAAAAUAAAUAGCUUUCCAAUUUAUAAAGAUAUUUAAAUGAGAAAAAAGAUUGCAUUAACAAUUGCAACAAAAAGAUAAAAUACUUAAGAGUAAACAUAAACCCCAUACAAUCUCAAUUAAAUUCUAUUGUAUUUUGUGUGUGUAAAAUUUGAUACAGGAAUAUACAGAACAUGUAAAAAAUGCAUGCAAGAAUAGUCAAGAAAAUUCUGAAAAAGUAAAUGAGAGAUUUAUAACCAUUACAAAGGAGACGAUAUGAUCAUUUUUCUUCUUUUUGCAGAUGACAUGACAGUAUAUACAUGAAGUCCAAGAGAAAACAACUGAUUGGUUAUUAGCAACAAUAAGAAAUUUCUGUAAGCUUUGUUGUUGUUGUUAGGUGCCGUCGUGUCGGUUCCAACUCAUAGCCACCCUUAUGUACUAUAUAGAACAAAACACUGCCCAGUCCUGCACCAUGCUCACAGUUGUUGUUACAGCUUGAGCCCACUGUUGCAGCCACUAUGUCAGUCCAUCUCGUUGAGUGUCUUUCUCUUUUUUGCUGACCCUCUACUUUACCAAGCAUGAUAUCCUUCUCCAGGGACUGAUCCCACCUGAUAAUAUGUCCAAAGUAUGUAAGACAGUCUCGCCAUCCUUUCUUCUAAGGAGCAUUCUGGUUGUACUUCUUCCAAGACAGACUGAUUCAUUCUUUUGGCAGUCCAUGCUAUAUUCAAUAUUCUUCACUAGCACCACAAUUCAAAGGCAUAAAUUCUUAUUCGCUCUUCUAUAUUCAUUGUCCAGCUUUCGCAUGCAUAUGAUGGGAUUGAAAAUACCCUGGCUUGGGUUGGCGCACCCUAGUCUUCAAGGUGACAUCUUUGCUUUUCAAUAUUUUAAAGAGGCCUUUCGCAGAAGAUUUGCCCAACACGAUACGUCUUUUGAUUUCUUGACUGCUGCUUCUGUGGGUGUUGACUGUGGAUCCAAGUAAAACGACAGCCUUGAGAACUGCCAUCUUUUCUGUUUAUCACAGUGAUGUUUAUUGGUCCAGUUCUGAGGAUUUUCUUUUCUUUAUGUUGAGGUGUAAUCCAUUCUGAAGGCUGUUGUGGUCUUUGAUCUUCAUCAGUAAAUGCUUCAAGUCCUCUUCACUUUCAGCAAGCAAGGUUGUGUCAUCUGCAUGCAGGUUGUUAAUGAGUCUUCCUCCAAUCCUGAUGCCACGUUCUUCUUCAUGUAGUGCACCGUCCCAGAUUAUUUGCUCAGUAUACAGAUUCAAUAGGUAUGGUGAAAGGAUAAAACCCUGAUGUACAUCUUUCCUGACUUUAGACCACGCAGUAUCCCCUUGUUCUCUUUAAACGACUGCCUCUUUGAUCUAUGUGCAUGUUUGAUCAAUUUCCGACUGCAGAAACUGGUAAAAACUUCAGUUUCUUCAUCUGUGGCCUUACUGGCUGGUGUGUAAAUUUGAAUAAUAGCUGUAUUAACCGGUCUUCCUUGUAGGUGUAUGGAUAUUAUUCUAUCAUUGACAGCAUUGUACGUCAGGAUAGAUCUUGAAAUGUUCUUUUUAACAGUGAAUGCAAUGCCAUUCCUCCUCUUCACGCCGUCGUUCCCAGAUAGUAGACCAUAUGAUUGCCCGAUUCAAAAUGGCCAAUACCAGUCCAUGUGAACUCACUAACGCCUAGGAUAUUGAUGUUUAUGUGUUCCAAUUCAUUUUUUGAUGAUUUCCAACUUUUCUAGAUUCAUACUUCAUACAUUCCAGGUUCCAAUUAUUAAUGGUAUUUGCAGCUGUUUCUUCUCAUUUUGAGUCAUGCCACAUCAGCAAAUGAUGGUCCUGAAAGCUUGACUCCAUCCACGUCAUUAAGCUCUUCCCUAGUCGUCUUUUGAGUACCGGGCUCACCUUCUGGCACUAUAUCAGACAAUGUUCUGCUGCUGCUAUUCAUAAGAUUUUCACUGGCUAAUUCUUUUCAGAAGUAGACCACUGGGUCCUUCUCCCUAGUCUGUCUUAGUCUGGAAGCUCAGCUGAAACCUGUCUGCCAUGGGUGACCUUGUUGAUAUCUGAGUACCAGUGGCAUAGCUUCCAGCAACACAGCAACACGUAAGCCCCCACAGUACGACAAACUGGCAGACACUUCGGGGCUGUAAACUUUACUACACAUUAAAACAUACCAAACUGGUUAAAUUAUUUUAACUUCAUAAUAUAUAUAUAAGCUUUACUACUUAUUAAAACAUAUUUAAAAAAAAAAAAAACAUUUCCAUCAACUUGAUUCUGACUCGUAACUACUCUAUAGACAGAGUAGAACUGCCCCAUAGGGUUUCCAAGGAGGGUCUUGUGGAUUUGAACUGUGACCUUUGGGUUAGCAGCCAUAGCUCUUAACCACUACACCACCAGGGUUUCCAAAACAUAUUAGGAGGUUAAAAUAAUUUAAACAGUUUGGUCCCGGAAAAGAAAUAGGCACCCCAACUAAUGAAACAGAACAGAGCCAAAAUAAUAACAAUAAUAACCACUGUGAUGGUUAAGGUUGUGUGUCAACUUGGCUGGGCCAUGAUUCUCAGUGGUUUGGCAGUUAGGAUGUAGUUUCGCAGAUAUGUAACGAUGUAAUUACCUCCAUAAUGAGGCCUGAUAUAAUGUAAUGUCCUCCAUGAUGAGGUCAGUUGAAACGGAGUUUCCUUGGGGAUGGGGCCUACAUCUAAUAUAUAUGGACUUUCUGGGAAAGCUCACUGGCUUUUGCUCUGCUCUGGAUCCUGCAUUCAGCUCGUCAUCAUCUGACCUCCAGUUCUCAGCACUUGAGCCACCAUCCUGCUGUCUGACCUGCUGAGCUUGGAUUCAUCAGCCCCUGUAGCUACUUAGUCAGAAGCCCCCAGCCUAAUGCCUGACCCAUGGACUUGGGACUUUCUAGCCUCUACAACUGUGUGACCCAUUUUCGUUAUAUAAUUCUCCCUCUCUCUCUCUCUCUGUGUAAAUAUAUGUUCGCUUUACUGGUUUUGCUUCUCUACAGAAACCAGACUAAGACAAUCACUAACAUUUAUUGAGCAUUUGCUAUACGCCAGGCAAGGUUCCGAGUUUAUGUCUCUAUCUAUAUAUUAACUCAUUUCAUGCUCACAACAACACUAUGGAGUGGUUACCAUUACUGUCAGCAUUUUACAGAUAAAUGAAAUGAUGCCAAGACAACACUGGCUUGUCCAGCAUCACACAGCUAGUAAGUACUCGGCUCUAGAGCCCUCUCUUCCAUUACAGCAUUACUUGAAAACUGGGAAAAACCUAAGUAUCCAUCAGUAGGGAAUGGCUAAAUAAAAUAUGGUUUACCCAUGUGGUGUAAAGAACGUGGCAGCUAAAAAAGGAAUGUGCUAACACUGAAAAAUCUCAAUGACACACUAAGUGAAAAGCAGUACAUACAGCAUGAUUUUAUUUUAAAAAGAGUACCACAUACAUACGUACAUCUAGAGAGAGGAAGAGAAUGUGUACACUGUUCAUUUUCCUGAAAGAAAGUACAGGAAAUUGUCAACAAGAAUUCCUUGUGAGGAGGAGAAUUAUAAGUUGCAGGAGGUUUAGGUGGCAAGAGAGAGCUUUAUUUUACCAUUUUCUAAAAGAGAACAGAGAAGCAUACGGUUCCAGCUACCCUAGCAGCCAUCUUACUAGCUGUUAAGGAAAUUUCCAAAAGAUGUAAAGAGUCAGCAAGCACUUGGGGGCCUAACAAUAAAAACCAGCUACGCAGCCCCUGCAGCUGACCUGGCCCAGACUCCCAGUCACAGGAGACUCUAAACUUCCUUGUUUAAAGAAAAAAAGCUCGUUUGAAAGUUUUCUGUGAUUUGCAGCCACAAGAAUCCUACCUGGCAGACCAUACUGAGUGGGAGUGACAGGAUCUGAUUUAUAUUCUUAGAAGAUGCCUCUGGCUGCUGAAAGAGGAGUAUACUGGGGUGCCCAAGACAACUCAGGAGGUAGCCGCAGAGGAAACGUAGUCAGAUUUGGGAUAUGGUUUAAAGCCAGAGCCCACUCAAACAGGUGCUUGUACACCAAUGUUCAUAGCAGCACUAUUCACAAUAACCAAAAGGUGGAAACAACAGCAAUGUCCAUCAGCUGCUGAAUGGAUAAACACAAGGUGGUACAGACACACAAUGGAAUAUUAUUCAGCCAUAAAAAGGGAAUGAAGUCUUGAUACAUGCUACAACACAGAUGAACCUUGAAAACAUUAUGCUAAGUGAAAUCAGUUCUUCACAAAAGGACAAGCACUGUAUGUCCCCAUGUGGAUGAAAUAUCUAGAACAGGUAAAUUCGCAGAGGCAAAAAGACGAAGUAGCUACCAGGGACUGCAGGGGAGGGGGGAUGAGAGUUAUUCCUUACUGGGGCAGGGUUUCUGUUUGGGAUGAAAACGCUGUGGAAACAUAGCGGUGACGGUCACACCACAUGGUGAAUGUGAUUCAUGGAUGAGUGAAUCGUAUGCUUCAAAGUGGCCAAAUGGCACAUUUGUCACAUAUAUUUUUUUCCCCACAAUAAAAUUAAAAAAAAACGAAAACAAGUAGAACCAGGACUGGCCAACGAUGAAAAAGGUGGGGGGGUAUGUGAAAAAGACUUCGCCUUGCUCAUUUUGGACAUGUUCUCAGGAGGGACUAGCCCCUGGGGAAGGAUAUUAUACUUGGUAAAGCAGAGGGGCAGCAAAAAGAAGACCCUCAACAAGACGGACUGACACAGAGGCUACGACAAUGGGCUCAAACAUAGUAACGGCUGUGAGGAUGGUGCAGGACCGCGCAGGGUUUCGUUCUGUUGUACACAGGGUCGCUGUGAGUCGGAACUGACUUGAUGGCACCUAACAACAACAACGUGAGAGAGAGGCAUCUGAGGUGACUCCUGGGUUUUCAGCAGAAGCAACUAAAUGAAAGGUGAUGCCAUUUGCGAGCAUUUGGGGAAGAAACGAUUAUGGUGCCUGGAUUGAGAAUUUAGGUUUCAAUAUGUUAAGACCAAACUAUUAAGGAACCAGAUGGAGACCCAAGCAGGAGGUGGCCACACCAGCCUGAAGCUGGGGGAGCAACUCAAGACUGGAGUUGGAAACUUGGGAACCAUAAGCAGUAGAUGACACAUAAAGGGGUGGACAGAGGUCACUUCGGGAGGAAGUGCAGAUGGAGGACAGAAGGUGGCCUCAGCCUGAUCUGGGUGGGGUGCAGGGGUCAUGCUGACUGUUGGGGAGACGGAAAUAGGCAGGAGCAGCCAGUGAAGCAGGACAGCCAGAAAGUGGGUGUUCCAGAAGCCCAGUGGAGAGAGUGACAGGCCCAGAGCCGUCAACAAUUGUUCCUUAAACACCAAGAGAGGUCAACAGUUGUUCCUGAAACACCAAGAAAGGUCAAGUCAAUAGCAACUCGAAAGAUUAGAUAGGAAGCUCAGGGGCAGCAAGUUUAUGUUAAUGGGGGAAGAAUAACUUGGGAAAAGAGGGUAAGAAUGGUUGCACCACUUGAAGACUGUAACCAAUGUCACAAAAUUGUACACGCAGAAAUUGUUGAAUUGGUGUAUGGUUCUGCUGUGUAUAUUCUCAAUAACAACAAAAAUAAAAUAAAUUAUAACCUAUAAAAUCAAAAAGCAAAAAAAGGGAGAGAGAGGUAAAGUAAGAGAGAACAGAGAACUGACAACUGGUUUAGCGAGAUGGAGACGGCUGGUGGACUUGGGCAAGGGCAGUUUCAGGAUGAAUGGCCAAAGCUCUAGUAAAGUGGGCCAACAAAAACCAGUAACAAGGCAGUCAUGGCCGUAAGUACAGACAACUGUUCCAGAAGUUUUGCUCUAAAGCUGGUUGCUAUAUUAGUGGGUAUCCGGCCAAUUAGCACAUUACAGAAAUGGACUAGAAAUUAAGUUUCAAAGCAUAAAAGAAACUGUUUCCAAAGCAGAGGUUUUAUUUUGAAACACUGACAUGCUUUAGUAUAAUGUUAUAAAAUAUUCUCGGUGGUGAAUGUAUAAAUGAGGAAAUAGCUUUCUAGAGGCCAAAUAACUUGUUCGAGGUCACAUCCAUAGACAGUGGCAGGGCCAGGGGUUGAACCCAGGCAGCGUGCUUCUAGAGCCCACCCAGAGAAAAAGCAUGAGAGGAAGGGCCCCGGACGAUCCGGGCACCAUGCAAUGAACCAAAAAACCAAUCUCAUUGCUGUGGAGCCGAUUCCAACUCAUAAUGACCCUAUAGGACAGAGUAAAACUGCCCCAGAGGGUCCCCGGGGCUGUAAAUCUUUACGGAAGCAGACUGCCACGUCUUUCUCCCAUGGAUAGGCUGGUGGUGGGAACCGCUGACAUUUUGGUUAGCAGUCAAGUGCUGAACGGCUGCGCCACCAGGGCUCCUUCAGGCAGUAGUGGCGGUAUUAAUAGCAGGAUGCCUGUCCAUUAGCACCAAUCCAUAGCCUGCCAAUGUUCACACAAGGUAACUCUUAGCUACUGUUUGAAUUACAAGUACUCAGUUCCUGGGUGGUAUGAACGGCUAAGCACUCAAGCUGCUAACGAAAAGGCUGGAGGUUCAAGCCUCCCGAGAGGCCCUUCAGAAAAAUGGCCUGGCAAAUCACUUCUGAAAAAUCAGCCAUUGAAAACCCUAAGGAGCACAGUUCUACUCUGACAUGCACGGGGUCACCAUGAAUCAGAGUGUUCAGUA